UAUUGUGAUACUAAUAUCUACAGUUAGUAUUGAUAUUGGUAUAUAUGGUUUAUGUAUGUGAGUGUACCUAAGUAUGUAACUAAGGACUGGCUGCAGGGAGUAGUGAUGAGCGAAUCUGUCCUGUUACUCUUUGCUGAAUAAUUCGCAAAACGGCGAAAAAUCCACAUAACGUGUUUGUUUGCGUUUUUUUGUCGCAAGGCAAGUAAAAGUGCACUUGGAAGCUUUUGUUUACCGGGUCUAAACCUACUUACCUUGCAAUUACAGAAACUUUAUGUUUUCCCAGCAGCAAGCUGCUGAGCUGCAACUUUCCUGAAGUGCCAAGAACAUAGACACUACUUUCUUUGUCUUUGGCCCUUUAAUUGACAAUAGACCACUUUUAUCAACAACUAGAAGAGUUAGAUGCUCUCUAUUUGCCCUUGAUUACCUAUCAAUUUUACAAGAAGCCAAUAUGAGUUACUAUAUGAAACAGAAGCGCUUGAUAGGGGACCGUGCAGUCCUUCACUUCCAGCUUCCCUCAUACAUGAAGUUUUCUCAUUCAUGAAAGUAGUGACUGGGACAGACUAUAGGAAGUCCAGGACAGCUGAGGAACUAGUCUGACUAAUGCUCCAAAGUCAAUAUCCACAAAUUUUGUAAAAACCUCUUCAUUUAUAAAGAUCACUGUGUGUUUCUGCAAAGAAAAUUGUGAUUUAUUUUGAUAUUUCUAAGUCUGUAAUAGUCAUCUGUUUGGGCAACCUAUAUGUGGUACAAGAAUGGAAUCUAUUAUGCAGAAUGUUUGUGACAUUUUGGAUAUGGGGUCUUUCUGUAAUUUGAAGGACUGUGUCUUAAGCCUACUAUAAACAUUUAAUUAUUAAAAAAAACAAUGUUUUGCCAUUAAUAAAGGUUUGUUAUUGCUUAUUUAUCAGGUACGAGGAUCUGACUACUGUUUAUUAGAGAAAAAGCAAAUCAGUAAGAAUUUCUUUAAAUAAACUGUCGAAAGGGCUGUGCCUGCAUAGCGGGUUUCCAGAUAAUAUUCCCAAUUUCUGUAUAAAAUUGUUCAGGUGAUGUCAGACAUUCAUACUUAGAUUAAACUGUCUUUGUGCACAGAGCUAAAUGGGAUAACAAUUGCUGUAAACUUCAACUUUUGGGCCUAUCACUGGAAAUUUCGUACAAAUUGUGUAGUUUUGUGCUUAAAGACAUAUUUACUUUCAAAAUAUAUGUGACAUUUAGCAGUUAUCUUAUUGUUAGGCACCUCUGAUUGGGCCAAAGAGCCAACCAUAAAAAUGCUAAUGCCCUUUUUAAUUUUAGUCUCUACAUUUCAGAUAGUUGGGUAAUCAUAUACUGUAUAUAUAUGGCAUAUUUAAUUACUUAGAAAAACCUAUGGCCUUUAUGACUUUAUGUCUUUGUACUCUAGGGCUAGUAAAAAAAUAAAUGUUGCAAAGUUCAAAUUAAUCAAAUAUUUGCAGAUUGGCAGCUUAAAAUAAUGAAAAAAACAUAGUUGCUUUAUUUACACCACAUAAAAUAGCAGUCAGUGGUAGGGAUGGGCAAAAUAAUUCGCCACGCAACAGUAAAAUUCAGCGUUUCCUUUGAUGCGGGUGUCACUUUCUGUGAUGCGCGCAUUGGCUUUUGAUGCAUGUGUAGUGUUCCUUUGACACGCGCGUUAAGAAGCCGAUGCACGUGUCAUAGAAAGCGACGCCCACAUCGAAUUUUACUGUCAUGCUGUGAAUUUUUUCGCUGCACAAAUCAUUUCGCCCAUCUUUCACUGUAUCUUUAAAUAAUAUAUGAUUUUGUGUGAUUAUCCUACUGUUGUGGGGUCUUUUGUUAAAAACACAGUGAGUUUUGCUAGCAGGGGCCAAAGUGUCAGCCAUGAAAAUUAGAAUGCACUAUUCAUAUUUUGGGGUCUUUAGAAGCCAUACUAUAUAAAUACGUGAUAUCAAUUUACUCAGAAGUUAUGUGGCUCUUAUACUACUUAAUUUUCUUUGUGUGCCCAAAUCCAUGCGGGUUAUGAGCUUUUGUGUUUAUUUCUGCUGUAAGGAACCUUCAUAAAUCUAUACACUUUUUUAUUUUGUGAUUGGGGUUUUCCAAAUCAGUUGUGUUUUUAAACAUAAAAUGUCCAUGUCUUGUAUGGGGUGAAGUCAGAUACAAUUCAAACAAUAAAUGUGUUCCAUAUUUUAUUAUGUAAAUCUAGGAAGGAUGGUAAAAAUGUAUACAGUUAAUACACAGCCUAUGUUAGUAAGUAAGAAGCAUUCAUAUUUACAGCUGAUAUAGCACAAACAAUAUCAUUACAUUUCAUGUGGCGCUGCUGAACAUACCCUUUGCCUACAGGUAAGCAGUCCAUUAUGCAGGGGGGGGGGUUAUCUGUGCACUUCUAAUUAUCUACCCUGCAAGGGCCAAAGAUGGAGUAGCUUCAGUUUCCAUAUUUACCUUUUUUAGCUCAAGAAAUAACAAAAAACACAGAUUUUUUGUGAUUAAAACAAUAGACAAAAGGUAUGCUCAGCACAAGCCCUAUUCUUUGAACUUGUUUUGAAAGGGGGUUACACUGACCCUUUAAGGUUUCUGUGACUUUGACUCUUUGCUUUCAUAAGAACUAAUCUCAUGAAACAGAAAAUACUAUUCAAUAUAUUAAAGGCACAAUAAAGACUUUUAUUAAGCAUGAGCCCAAAUAAAUGAGCAUAGGUUGAAAAUUCACUGUGCAUAUUUCAUUAAAAAUGAAACGCUUUUAUUUUACUCUUUGCUGAUCCUCCACAAUUGCUCCUUCAGAGUAAAUGUAAGAGGGGAGAAGAUUGUGAAUCAAAUUACUCUUCCCAUCUAAACUCCUCCUUAUCUGUAAAACAGAGAAACAGACAACACCUUGGAAAAGGGGGGUUUUCAUUUACACAGAGCUCAUUAUUUAUCUGUAAAUAAGGUCCCCUAGAUUCUGUGGGGGGGAGGGAGGUAGCAAGGGUAAAAAGAAAACCUGAUUCUUCAGUACACAGUAAUUCAGAAUGAAAAUAAAAAAUAGUUUUUUUUUAUUAAACAUGUUGGCAAAAACAUUUUCAUAACCAGCCAUAUUUUCCAGCUCAUGUUGAAAAUGAAAAAAAGUAUUUAUUGCUUCUAACAUAGAGGCUCAAGUUGAAAAAGGAAAUGCUUAACAAAGGCAGAAGAAAAUCAAAUGUCGAUGCCCCUAGAAGAAAGUACCAAGCAUAAAAGUAUCCAGGAAGACAGAGGUCUGUGGGAAUGGAUUUAUCACCAUCAACAUAUUCCCAGAAAAUGAUAGCUGGGCUGUACAAGAGGGAAGCCAGAAUCCAAACUAAAGCCAUGUUCAGCACAGUUCGGCCAUGCUCCUUUUCAAUUGAUCGGUGCAAAACCUUGGGGAAAGAAGGACACAAAAUAUAAGCAUCUGUAUUACAGGAUGUAACAUAAUAUGUGUUUCAAAAUUUUGAAUCUACUUUAUGACAAAAUAUUUUCUUUAUGCAUUCAAAUAAAAUGUUAAAAAUAUGUAAAGAACCAACACACAGUAACUUUUGUUUAACUGUAACUAAACUACCUUUGCUGAGUCAGUUGCCUGUAAUGAAUAGUACUUAACAUACUGAAUUUUCCUGUGAUAGAAUAGAAUACUAAAACAUCAAAAGUUUGAAUAGAAUACUAAAAUAUCAAAGUCUGAAUCAUGCACGAAUUUAAA